CCCUUAGAUGUUCUGGGCUGCACGCGCGCUACAAUGGCGUUUUCAAAAAGAUUGCUAAUCCGAAAGGACCAGCGGAUCUUCGAAGUGGCGUCGUGAUCGGGACAGUUGAUUGCAAUUAUUCGACUCGAACGAGGAAUUCCUUGUAAUCGUGCGUCAUCAGCGCACGCUGAAUACGUCCCUGUUCUUUGUACACACCGCCCGUCGCUCCUACCGAUCGGGCGAUCCAAUGAAUGUUUCGGAGCGGAACUGAGAUGCUAAUGCGUCUCUUUUACGCGAAUUUGUGUGAAUUUGAUCGCUUAGAGGAAGGAGAAGUCGUAACA
rnacentral:rRNA from 1 species